UGAGGAAUUUUGCGCAAUGGGGGAAACCCUGACGCAGCGACGCCGCGUGGAGGAUGAAGGCCUUCGGGUCGUAAACUCCUGUCAGAGGUGAAGAAUACCCGCAAGGGUUUGACGGUAACCUCAGAGGAAGCCCCGGCUAACUACGUGCCAGCAGCCGCGGUAAUACGUAGGGGGCAAACGUUACUCGGAAUUACUGGGCGUAAAGGGUGCGUAGGCGGCUGGGAAAGUCAAGGAUGAAAUCCCGUGGCUCAACUGCGGAACGGUCCUUGAAACUACUCGGCUUGAGGAUAACCGAAGAGAACGGAAUUCCCGGUGGAGCGGUGAAAUGCGUAGAUAUCGGGAGGAACACCUGAGGCGAAAGCGGUUCUCUAGACUACUCCUGACGCUGAGGCACGAAAGCUAGGGGAGCAAACGG
rnacentral:rRNA from 1 species